rnacentral:rRNA from 1 species
UACGUAGGUGGCAAGCGUUGUCCGGAAUUAUUGGGCGUAAAGGGCGCGUAGGCGGCCUUCUAAGUCAGAUGUGAAAUCCCUGGGCUUAACCUGGGUAGUGCAUUUGAAACUGGAGGGCUUGAGUGCAGGAGAGGUAAGUGGAAUUCCUAGUGUAGCGGUGAAAUGCGUAGAUAUUAGGAGGAACACCAGUGGCGAAGGCGACUUACUGGACUGUAACUGACGCUGAGGCGCGAAAGCGUGGGGAGCAAACAGG